rnacentral:rRNA from 1 species
CGUAGCCGGCCUGAGAGGGUGAACGGCCACAUUGGGACUGAGACACGGCCCAGACUCCUACGGGAGGCAGCAG